AGCCGCUCCCUGCGCUCUGGCCGCUACUUGCGGUCACAUGACCGGAAGUUUGGCAUUUGGAACGCAACUAUGCGUUCCACUGCGCUCAGAGGGAGGAAGUGCUAGUGUCUGCUGUUGAAUUGUAGGGAAAGACCUGUAAAAAAUGGCCAAAAAAGUAAAACUGAGUACACAAUGGAUAAGCUCGGUGACGUUAAUGAGGCCGGAAGAAUUGCAUAAUCUCUGUGUGUGAAACCGCCGGCAUUCGCCUCUGAGCGCCCCACGCCAAGCACACCUGCCAGUCGGAUGGAAUACUCUUGAGAGGAGCUGGAUGUAUUGAACCCAUUCGGAUACACAAUUUAUUUAAUACUGGGAGCAGAAGAUUACUGUAAAUUACCGUAGACAGUUACUUCCUCUGAGCUACUAGAGAAACACACAGAUGUACAGGAAGUUAUAGGGAGAUUGAAUAAAGGAAGAGAAAAAA